UUGUGUUGUUUUACUUUUCUGCAUCGGUCAUUUACUCGAGUCAGCCUCUUUGCAUCCAGGGGUAGAGAUAGUGUAGGCCCAAGUUGGGCUCAAGCCCACCCUCAAAUUUGGACAAAAAAUUACUAGUAUACAAUAAAAUACUCAAAUCUCAAAAUAAGACCAAUAAUUUUAAAUACAAAUUAAAUCCUAAUGGGCCCAACUCUUUACCCAAAACCUCAUACAAUAGAUGAAACUGAGAGUUUGAAUCCAAAGAACUUGCCCCAUCUGAUCUCCACACCUUGCUAUUGUUGUCUUCAAGGUCGGAGUUUGCUCUUUAUUCUCUGGGCAAGAGAUUGUAAGUUAGGGAAAAGGCCAUGGUUGUUAAUUUGGAUUUUAUUAAGGUUAUAGCAACAGCUGUAGAAGUCCUGUUGCUAGAUCCUCUUCGCCAAGAGGUUCUUCCUGUUGUGGAUCAGCUAAGGCAACUAUAGCCAGACAAACAUAUGGAGUCAGAGCUCCCAUUUGAGUUUCAAGUUCUGGAGAUAGCAUUAGAGGUUCUAUGUAGAUACUUGUAUGUCAGUGUUGAAGAACUCGAGAGAUGCUUACCCUCUUUUAGAUGAUCUGGCCAGGAAUAUUAGCACCAAGAUCUUGAACUUGUGCGGAGUUUGAAGAGCAAUGUUACCCAUCUACAUGUUCGUCUUCAACAAGAGCAAAGGAGCAGCUACUGCACAAGCUUUGGAGGAUUGAGAAACUGGCAGAAUUGGAUCCAGUAGAACUAGUAGUAUUAUGUAUGUUUUUGGGAACAAGCUAACUAGUUUAGUUUUCUUUAUAUAUGUAUGUUGUUGGGAUAUUAUUAGUACUUCUUGAGAAGAGAAUUGAACAAUGAAUAUUGUUUUUCUAUUAUGAAGUGGAGAAUGGUUUUUACUGUA